rnacentral:rRNA from 1 species
UACGGGGGGAGCAAGCGUUGCUCGGAAUCACUGGGCGUAAAGCGCACGUAGGCGGAUUUUUAAGUCAGGGGUGAAAUCCUGGAGCUCAACUCCAGAACUGCCUUUGAUACUGGGAAUCUCGAGUCCGGAAGAGGUGAGUGGAACUGCGAGUGUAGAGGUGAAAUUCGUAGAUAUUCGCAAGAACACCAGUGGCGAAGGCGGCUCACUGGUCCGGUACUGACGCUGAGGUGCGAAAGCGUGGGGAGCAAACAGG